AUUGAACGCUGGCGGCAGGCCUAACACAUGCAAGUCGAACGAGUGGCGGACGGGUGAGUAAUGUCUGGGAAACUGCCCGAAGGAGGGGGAUAACUACUGGAAACGGUAGCUAAUACCGCAUACCAUCGGAUGUGCCCAGAUGGGAGUAGCUUGUAGGUGAGGUAACGGCUCACCUAGGCGACGAUCCCUAGCUGGUCUGAGAGGAUGACCAGUGCAACUGGAACUGAGACACGGGCCAGACUACUACGGGAGGCAGCAGUGGGGAAUAUUGCAAAUGGGGCGGAAGCCUGAUGCAGCCUUGCCGGGUAGAUGAAGAAGGCCUUCGGGUUGUAAAUUACUUUCAGCGGGGAGGCGUUACCCGCAGAAGACGCACCGGCUAACUCCGUGCCAGCAGCCGCGGUAAUAC
rnacentral:rRNA from 1 species